rnacentral:rRNA from 1 species
UACGAGGGGGGCAAGCGUUGUUCGGAAUUAUUGGGCGUAAAGGGCGCGUAGGCGGUGCGGUAAGUCACCUGUGAAAUCUCUGGGCUCAACUCAGAGUCUGCAGGCGAAACUGCCGUGCUGGAGUAUGGGAGAGGUGCGUGGAACUGCGAGUGUAGAGGUGAAAUUCGUAGAUAUUCGCAAGAACACCAGUGGCGAAGGCGGCUCACUGGCCCGAUACUGACGCUGAGGCACGAAAGCGUGGGGAGCGAACGAGG